rnacentral:rRNA from 1 species
GAUGAACGCUGGCGGCGUGCCUAAUACAUGCAAGUCGAGCGAACAGACGAGGAGCUUGCUCCUCUGACGUUAGCGGCGGACGGGUGAGUAACACGUGGAUAACCUACCUAUAAGACUGGGAUAACUUCGGGAAACCGGAGCUACUACCGGAUAAUAUAUUGAACCGCAUGGUUCAAUAGUGAAAGACGGUUUUGCUGUCACUUAUAGAUGGAUCCGCGCCGCAUUAGCUAGUUGGUAAGGUAACGGCUUACCAAGGCGACGAUGCGUAGCCGACCUGAGAGGGUGAUCGGCCACACUGGAACUGAGACACGGUCCAGACUCCUACGGGAGGCAGCAGUAGGGAAUCUUCCGCAAUGGGCGAAAGCCUGACGGAGCAACGCCGCGUGAGUGAUGAAGGUCUUCGGAUCGUAAAACUCUGUUAUUAGGGAAGAACAAAUGUGUAAGUAACUAUGCACGUCUUGACGGUACCUAAUCAGAAAGCCACGGCUAACUACGU